AUCUAUGGUCAUGCUACCCUGAACAAGCCUGAUCCCAUCUGAUCUCGGAAGCUAAGCAGGGUUGGGCCUGGUUAGUAUUUGGAUGGGAGACCGCCUAGGAAGACCAGGUGCUGUAGGCU
rnacentral:rRNA from 1 species